CACUGCCGAGAAAAGCCUCUAGAUAGAAAAUAGGUGCCCGUACCGCAAACCGACACAGGUAGUCAAGAUGAGAAUUCUAAGGUGAGCGAGCGAACUCUCGUUAAGGAACUCGGCAAAAUGACCCCGUAACUUCGGGAGAAGGGGUGCUCUUUAGGGUUAACGCCCAGAAGAGCCGCAGUGAAUAGGCCCAAGCGACUGUUUAUCAAAAACACAGGUCUCUGCUAAACCGUAAGGUGAUGUAUAGGGGCUGACGCCUGCCCGGUGCUGGAAGGUUAAGAGGAGUGGUUAGCUUCUGCGAAGCUACGAAUCGAAGCCCCAGUAAACGGCGGCCGUAACUAUAACGGUCCUAAGGUAGCGAAAUUCCUUGUCGGGUAAGUUCCGACCCGCACGAAAGGCGUAACGAUUUGGGCACUGUCUCAACGAGAGACUCGGUGAAAUCAUAGUACCUGUGAAGAUGCAGGUUACCCGCGACAGGACGGAAAGACCCCGUGGAGCUUUACUGUAGCCUGAUAUUGAAAUUCGGCACAGCUUGUACAGGAUAGGUAGGAGCCUUUGAAACGUGAGCGCUAGCUUACGUGGAGGCGCUGGUGGGAUACUACCCUAGCUGUGUUGGCUUUCUAACCCGCACCACUUAUCGUGGUGGGAGACAGUGUCAGGCGGGCAGUUUGACUGGGGCGGUCGCCUCCUAAAAGGUAACGGAGGCGCUCAAAGGUUCCCUCAGAAUGGUUGGAAAUCAUUCAUAGAGUGUAAAGGCAUAAGGGAGCUUGACUGCGAGACCUACAAGUCGAGCAGGGUCGAAAGACGGACUUAGUGAUCCGGUGGUUCCGCAUGGAAGGGCCAUCGCUCAACGGAUAAAAGCUACCCCGGGGAUAACAGGCUUAUCUCCCCCAAGAGUUCACAUCGACGGGGAGGUUUGGCACCUCGAUGUCGGCUCAUCGCAUCCUGGGGCUGUAGUCGGUCCCAAGGGUUGGGCUGUUCGCCCAUUAAAGCGGUACGCGAGCUGGGUUCAGAACGUCGUGAGACAGUUCGGUCCCUAUCCGUCGUGGGCGUAGGAAAUUUGAGAGGAGCUGUCCUUAGUACGAGAGGACCGGGAUGGACAUACCUCUGGUGUACCAGUUGUCGUGCCAACGGCAUAGCUGGGUAGCUAUGUGUGGACGGGAUAAGUGCUGAAAGCAUCUAAGCAUGAAGCCCCCCUCAAGAUGAGAUUUCCCAACUUCGGUUAUAAGAUCCCUCAAAGAUGAUGAGGUUAAUAGGUUCGAGGUGGAAGCAUGGUGACAUGUGGAGCUGACGAAUACUAAUCGAUCGAAGAC
rnacentral:rRNA from 1 species